GCACAAUAGAAAAAGUUAUAGGCAAUGGAAGUUUGGUGCAAAUCCAACGCGGUCCCGCCACUGUGAUAGAUCGAUCAUGAUCGGUCUUAAGUCAGGUCUUUUGCCUAGAAACUUUGUCUGGCCAGUCAUUUCGAGGCGAAAGUGACUGGUUUAC
rnacentral:sRNA from 2 species